GACGAACGCUGGCGGCGUGCCUAACACAUGCAAGUGGAGCGACGAACCGGGGCUUGCCGCGGCGCGGGGCCGCAAACGGGGGGGUAACGCGUUGGUGACCGGCCCCGCUGACUGGGACAGCCCGUCGAAAGAGGGGCUAAUACCGGAUGUGCGACUUGGGGGAAAGGAAGCGUCGGCCUCCGCAUCGGGUUGUUCCCGCGGCGAAAUAGCUUGUUGGCGGGGUAAUGGCGUAGCACGGCGACGAUGCGUAGCCAGUCUGAGAGGAAGAUCCGCCACACUGGGAGUGAGACACGGCACAGACUCUUACGGGAGGCAGCAGCGGGGAAUCUUGCACAAUGCGGGAAUGCGGGAUGCAGGACCGUGGGGUGAGGGAAGAAGGAGCUAUGGUUGUAAAGUGAUUUAAGUUGUGACGAGGUUUAGCUCGUUAAUAGCGGUUUGUAGUGACGGUACCGGCAGAAUAAGCGCCGGCUAACUACGUG
rnacentral:rRNA from 1 species